CCUACGGGCGGCAGCAGUAGGGAAUAUUGCUCAAUGGGGGAAACCCUGAAGCAGCAACGCCGCGUGGAGGAUGAAGGUUUUCGGAUUGUAAACUCCUUUUUUUAGAGGAGUUAAUUACGGUAUCUAACGCAUAAGCACCGUCUAACUUCGUGCCAGCAGCCGCGGUACUACGGAGGGUGCAAGCGUUACCCGGAGUCACUGGGCGUAAGGGGCGCGUAGGCGGGAUAGCAAGUCAGAUGUGAAAUCCUAUGGCUUAACCAUAGAACUGCAUUUGAAACUGUUAUUCUAGAGUAUGGGAGAGGUAGGUGGAAUUCGUGGUGUAGGGGUAAAAUCCGUAGAGAUCAAGAGGAAUACUCAUUGCGAAGGCGACCUGCUAGAACAUAACUGACGCUGAUGCGCGAAAGCGUGGGGAGCAAACAGGAUUAGAUACCCUUGUAGUC
rnacentral:rRNA from 1 species